CCGUGCCUUAUACAGGGGAGUAACAGUCAGAAAUGGCUGCUAAUACCGCAUAAGCGCACAGAGCUGCAUGGCUCAGUGUGAAAACUCCGGUGGUAUAAGAUGGACCCGCGUUGGAUUAGCUUGUUGGUGGGGUAACGGCCCACCAAGGCGACGAUCCAUAGCCGGCCUGAGAGGGUGAACGGCCCACAUUGGGACUGAGACACGGCCCAGCUCCUACGGGGAGGCAGCAUG
rnacentral:rRNA from 1 species